rnacentral:lncRNA from 1 species
GGAAAUAAAACACGAACUAUGUAUAUCGAAAUAUUUUCAAAUGACCUAUGUGUAAAUAUAUUCAGAUGUUGGACUUGCCGAAUUUUAUGAACUAUAUAUGUGGUGAUGGUUACCAAAAAAAAACUUAACAAUGGAACUACUGGAUUUACAAUAGCAUAAAUGAAGAAGGAUUAUCGUAUUUUCCGAACUUUCGUUCUUAUUGCGAGGGAAGGAAUAAUGUUACACAAUUGGUAACAUUAAUUAAUUAUCAAGGAGUAUUAAUUAGGAAAUUUAUUAAAAAGGAAAUAAACAAUUCAAUGACAAUCAUGUAUGCUUUGGACACUAAUAACCAUCUGUGAAUACAUUAAAUAGCAGAAAGCCUUUGGACACUAAUAACAAUCUGUGAAUACAUUAAAUAGCAGAAAGCCUUUGGACACUAAUAACAAUCUGUUCGUAUAUUAUGGACAUAUAUACCCCGAAGCCCAUAAAUGACCAUGUUUACUUUAAAAUAACAUUUAUCCGUCAGGGGUUAAUUACAUUAUUUGACAAUUAACCUCAUGUAAAUAGUACUCGAUAACCGGACGAUUAUACAACCGGCC